AUUGAACGCUGGCGGCAGGCCUAACACAUGCAAGUCGAGCGGAGCGGCGGACGGGUGAGUAAUACCUAGGAAUCUGCCUGGUCGUGGGGGCUAACGUCCGGUAACGGGCGCUAAUACCGCAUCCUAUCCGAUGAGCCUCGGUCGGAUUAGCUAGUGGGUGGGGGAAAGGCCUACCAAGGCAACGAUCCGUAACUGGUCUGAGAGGAUGAUCAGUCACACUGGAACUGAGACACGGUCCAGACUCCGACGGGAGGCAGCAGUGGGGAAUAUUGGACAAUGGGCGAAAGCCUGAUCCAGCCAUGCCGCGUGUGUGAAGAAGGUCUUCGGAUUGUAAAGCACUUUAAGCUGGGAGGCGUUACCAACAGAAUAAGCACCGGCUAACUUCGUGCCAGCAGCCGCGGUAAUUC
rnacentral:rRNA from 1 species